GCGUGUGGCGCUGGGGACAUCUCCGAGUGGCUUUCGCUUCCCCCCGGCCCAUCCUGUGGGAUUGCGGUCUGGGGACACCUCAUCAAAAUCCUCAAAGACUCUUUGGGGCUUUUCCGUUCCCUUUUCUCCCUUCCCCUUUUUUAUUUAUUUAUUUUUUUAACAUUCUUCCCCUUUCUGAGCCCUCGGCUGGGUCCGGCUCUGCUUCAUCCGCGGGGACAGAAAUUUCCAGUGAGGACUGGGGUGAAAAUGGGAUUUUCCCACCUAUUUCCAUCAUUAAUUAAUUAUCCUGCCAGCGCCACGGGGACAGAGGCGCUGCCCGAGGCUGGGAAUUCGCCUUUUCCCGAAUUUCCCGCUUCAGCCUCCCCCAGGAGGAUCUUUGGGAAUGGGGAAGCUCGGCUGGGCUGCUCUAGAUGGCAGCAGCCUCCUUCCCUUCCCCGAGCCAUUCCCCGCUCUUCAUCCACCUCCUCCUCCUCCUCCAUCUCCCUUCCCCCCUCUCCAUCCAUGCCUGGGGGUCCCCCCGUGCAAUUCCGGUUUUGGGGGGGUGGACAGGGCCUGGAGCGCCCUGGCACGGCGGAACUGUCCCUGUCCUUGGAACGGGACAAGGUUCCUGUUCCUCCACCCAGCCCGCAGCUCCCACCCUGCUGAGGCACCCAAAUUCCCCCCAGUUUGACCCAAAAUUCCCCCCAAUUUGACACAAAAUUUCCCCCCAGUUUGACCCAAAAUUCCCCCCAAUUUGACCCAAAAUUCUCCCCCAAUUUGGCCCAAAAUUCCCCCCAAUUUGGCCCAAAAUUCCCCCCAAUUGGACCCAAAAUUCCCCCACAAUUUGGCCCAAAAUUCUCCCCCAAUUUGGCCCAAAAUUCUCCCCCAGUCUGACCCAAAACUCGGUGAAAUCCCAAAACCCCAGUGACACCCCAAAACCCGGUGACACUCUAAAACCCAGUGAAAUACCAAAAACCCAAUGACACCCCAAAAGCCGGUGAAAUCCCUAAAACCCAGUGACAUCCCAAAAACCCGCUGAAAUCCCAAAACCCAGCGAAACUCCAAAAACCCCCUAAAACCCCAAAACCCGCUAAAACCCCAAACCCCCGGUGAAACCCCAAACCCCCGGCUGUCUUUGCCCACGGACUCGCAGCUCCCGCCCCGCCGUGCGAUUUUGAGGGUGAAAACCUCGAGAGCAGCCCAGUUGCAUUUCCUGCAGUUGCAUUUCCUGCAGCGGCUGCGGGAGGGCGGAGCGGAGGAGCGAGGGAGCGGCGCCAGCAGCGCCAGCACUGCCCACCCCAGGCAGCACCUCCAGGUGACACCUGGGCUUUCCAGAGGUGGAUGGGAUGGAAGUGAGGACAAGAAGAGGAGGAGGAGGAGCAGCUCCAGCCCCUUGGCACUGCCCACCCCAGGCAGCAGCUCCAGGUGACACCUGGGCUUUCCAGAGGUGGAUGGGAUGGAAGUGAGGACAAGAAGAGGAGGAGGAGGAGCAGCUCCAGCCCCUUGGCACUGCCCACCCCAGGCAGCAGCUCCAGGUGACACCUGGGCUUUCCAGAGGUGGAUGGGAUGGAAGUGAGCACAAGCAGAGGAGGAACUCCAGGUGGGAACAGCGACGUUCCUGCUCCUCCACCCCACCCCAGCCCAGCAGCUUCACCCGUUUCUUUCACUUUUUAACCCAAAAUUUGCUCCCCAGCCCCUUGGCACUGCCCGCCUCAGGCAGCAGCUCCGGGUGACACCCGAGGGACACCUGAGGGACACCUGAGGGACACCUGGAUCUCCCGGGCUGUGGACCUUGGCCCCGCUCCCCAGCACCCGUGGCCGUUGCCCGGAGCCUUCCCGGUUAUUGCUCCUGCCCCAGCCUCGGGAGCAGCUGGGAAACGGCCGGAUUUACCGGAUGAGGGAUCCUUCCUCCUCCUCCCUCCUCCUCCUCCCUCCCGGGGCUGGAGCUGGGAACAAAAGGAGGAAAAUCAGCCGGGAUGGGACAGCCCUGCUCGCUUCCCGAGAACGGCCCGGGCCCAGGGUUUGGCCUCGAGGCCGUUUUGUUUUCCCCUGCUAAAGGAACAUUCCAGCCACGGGCAGAACUGGGAUUGAGAGCCCAGGAAUGCCAAAGGCCCAAAGGGGAAAGGAAAAAGGAAAAGUUGAGGAAAUGGGCUCGUCCUGGUGUGAGGAAUGGUCACAAAUCCCACCUUUGGGAAAAACAGAUCCCACCUCUGGGAAAAAGAAACAAAUUCCCUCUUUGGGAAAAAGAAACAAGUCCCAUCUUUGGGAAAAAGAAACAAAUCCCACCUUUGGGAAAGACAAAUCCCACCUUUGGGAAAAACAAAUCCCACCUUUGGGAAAAACAAAUCCCACCUCUGGGAAAAACAAAUCCCACCUCUGGGAAAAACAUUGCUUUUCUUUCUCCCCUCUCUGGGUCACUGGUGGGACUCAGUGACCUUAGCAGGCUUUUCCAACCUGAACAAUUCCACUUUUUCCACUUUUCCACGAUCUUCUGGACGCUCAGCUCUUGCUGGACUCGGAUCUGAGGCGCCUGCAGCUCCUCGGAGACGCAAAUCUGGGAAUUGUUUCAGGAAGAAGCCGAGCGGGCACGGAAAGACCGGGAGAACAAGACACAUCACGUUCCCCAGAUGAUAAUGAGGGAAUGAAAUUAAACCACCUGGGAGACCAAAACUCUCCUUGCUUCCUUCCUCAGGAGCAGCUUCCCCUCCACGGCAGCAAUUCCUGCCUGAGCCGUCACCCGCGGACGAUCCAGAAAUGAAUCACGCCCGGGCCCGGGGAACGCGGCUCGGAUCAUCCCUAAAGCUGCUGCUCCAACCCCAUAAAACCCCGCGGAACAACAAGGGGCAUCCCAUCAUUUGUGAUAAUUCCGGAAUUGCUGCUAAUUCCGGCCCAAUUAGGAGAUAAAACACGGCGCUGGAGCCGCUUAUUAAAUUACAAAUCAUCCCGGCUAAA